rnacentral:rRNA from 1 species
AGAGUUUGAUCCUGGCUCAGAGCGAACGCUGGCGGCAGGCUUAACACAUGCAAGUCGAGCGGGCGUAGCAAUACGUCAGCGGCAGACGGGUGAGUAACGCGUGGGAACGUACCUUUUGGUUCGGAACAACCCAGGGAAACUUGGGCUAAUACCGGAUAAGCCCUUACGGGGAAAGAUUUAUCGCCGAAAGAUCGGCCCGCGUCUGAUUAGCUAGUUGGUGGGGUAAUGGCCCACCAAGGCGACGAUCAGUAGCUGGUCUGAGAGGAUGAUCAGCCACAUUGGGACUGAGACACGGCCCAAACUCCUACGGGAGGCAGCAGUGGGGAAUAUUGGACAAUGGGCGCAAGCCUGAUCCAGCCAUGCCGCGUGAGUGAUGAAGGCCCUAGGGUUGUAAAGCUCUUUUGUGCGGGAAGAUAAUGACGGUACCGCAAGAAUAAGCCCCGGCUAACUUCGUGCCAGCAGCCGCGGUAAUACGAAGGGGGCUAGCGUUGCUCGGAAUCACUGGGCGUAAAGGGUGCGUAGGCGGGUCUUUAAGUCAGGGGUGAAAUCCUGGAGCUCAACUCCAGAACUGCCUUUGAUACUGAAGAUCUUGAGUUCGGGAGAGGUGAGUGGAACUGCGAGUGUAGAGGUGAAAUUCGUAGAUAUUCGCAAGAACACCAGUGGCGAAGGCGGCUCACUGGCCCGAUACUGACGCUGAGGCACGAAAGCGUGGGGAGCAAACAGGAUUAGAUACCCUAGUAGUCC